CUUCUACUGAGUUACUGAAGCGAUCUGGAGGUUAGAAAGGUGUCACGUGACAGGAACAAGCCAAAUCCACCGUGAGCAGGGUAAACGCUACCGGAGGGUAUUAGCUGUUACAUGGUUCCUGUAUUCACCCAUCAUUGUGGUGACUUUUGCCCCCUGAAGAUCUGGAAACAAUAUAUUUAACCACGAAGGCUCCAGAAAUCCUGCUUUGGACAGCAACAGCAUUUCUAUCUUUGAGUUCCAGCCAGGGACAAGGCAGUGUCACGCAAACACAAGGAGAGCUGGAAAAGUUGGGGGUUCAGACUGUCACCCUGGAGUGUACUUUCUCCACUGGAUACAAGUAUUAUUACUUAUUUUGGUACAGACAGCAACGAUCAGGAGCAAUGGAUUUCCUCUUCCGAAUAUUUCAGAAUAACGCUAAAAAGAACGGA